GACAAGAAAUGCUCUUCAAGACAAGAAAUCUUGUCUUGAUGAAACACUAUAUAUAUCUUUUUCACAGAUAAUGAUACCUACAGCAUACAAUAUAUAAAACUCCUUAUCCGAAAUGGAUUGUUUGUCAUAAAUGGAAAAGAUCAGGAAAUUAGAGCAAUAUAUCGUGUUAUUGGAAAUAAAGAAGAAAUAAUAUACCACGCUAAUAUCUACAAUCUAGGACGGACUGAUAAUAUAAUCAGCAAUUAGCAGAAUGUGAUAAAGAAAAUGAUGCAGCAAAUUACUUUGAAUCAGAGGACUGUAGUCAAAAGAGUACCGAUUACUGGACUGAUGCGGCCAC